rnacentral:rRNA from 1 species
UUAACCGUAUAGGGGAGCCGGAGGGAAACCGAGUCUUAACCGGGCGUUAAGUUGCAGGGUAUAGACCCGAAACCCGGUGAUCUAGCCAUGGGCAGGUUGAAGGUUGGGUAACACUAACUGGAGGACCGAACCGACUAAUGUUGAAAAAUUAGCGGAUGACCUGUGGCUGGGGGUGAAAGGCCAAUCAAACCGGGAGAUAGCUGGUUCUCCCCGAAAGCUAUUUAGGUAGCGCCUCGUGAAUUCAUCUCCGGGGGUAGAGCACUGUUUCGGCUAGGGGGCCAUCCCGGCUUACCAACCCGAUGCAAACUGCGAAUACCGGAGAAUGUUAUCACGGGAGACACACGGCGGGUGCUAACGUCCGUCGUGAAGAGGGAAACAACCCAGACCGCCAGCUAAGGUCCCAAAGUCAUGGUUAAGUGGGAAACGAUGUGGGAAGGCCCAGACAGCCAGGAUGUUGGCUUAGAAGCAGCCAUCAUUUAAAGAAAGCGUAAUAGCUCACUGGUCGAGUCGGCCUGCGCGGAAGAUGUAACGGGGCUAAACCAUGCACCGAAGCUGCGGCAGCGAACGUAUCACCCAAGACAACUUUACGGAGUUGACGAUUGACGGA